AGCCAGACUCCUACGGGAGGCAGCAGUGGGGAAUAUUGCACAAUGGGGGAAACCCUGAUGCAGCGACGCCGCGUGAGCGAUGAAGUAUUUCGGUAUGUAAAGCUCUAUCAGCAGGGAAGAAAAUGACGGUACCUGACUAAGAAGCCCCGGCUAACUACGUGCCAGCAGCCGCGGUAAUACGUAGGGGGCAAGCGUUAUCCGGAUUUACUGGGUGUAAAGGGAGCGUAGACGGCUGUGCAAGCCAGAUGUGAAAGCCCGGGGCUCAACCCCGGGACUGCAUUUGGAACUGUGUGGCUGGAGUGUCGGAGAGGCAGGCGGAAUUCCUAGUGUAGCGGUGAAAUGCGUAGAUAUUAGGAGGAACACCAGUGGCGAAGGCGGCCUGCUGGACGAUGACUGACGUUGAGGCUCGAAAGCGUGGGGAGCAAACAGGAUUAGAUACCCUGGUAA
rnacentral:rRNA from 1 species